AGGGAUUGCCCUAGUAACGGCGAGUGAAGCGGCAACAGCUCAAAUUUGAAAUCUGGCUUUCGGGCCCGAGUUGUAAUUUGUAGAGGAUGAUUUUGAUGCGGUGCCUUCCGAGUUCCCUGGAACGGGACGCCAUAGAGGGUGAGAGCCCCGUCUGGUUGGAUGCCAAAUCUCUGUAAAUCUCCUUCGACGAGUCGAGUAGUUUGGGAAUGCUGCUCUAAAUGGGAGGUAUAUGUCUUCUAAAGCUAAAUACCGGCCAGAGACCGAUAGCGCACAAGUAGAGUGAUCGAAAGAUGAAAAGCACUUUGAAAAGAGAGUUAAAAAGUACGUGAAAUUGUUGAAAGGGAAGCGUUUAUGACCAGACUUGGGCUUGGUUAAUCAUCUGGGGUUCUCUCCAGUGCACUUUUCCAGCCCAGGCCAGCAUCAGUUUUCGCCGGGGGAUAAAGACUUCGGGAAUGUGGCUCCCCUCGGGGAGUGUUAUAGCCCGUUGUGUAAUACCCUGGUGGGGACUGAGGUUCGCGCUUCUGCAAGGAUGCUGGCGUAAUGGUCAUCAACGACCCGUCUUGAAACACGGACCAAGGAGUCGUCUUCGUAUGCGAGUGUUCGGGUGUCAAACCCCUACGCGUAAUGAAAGUGAACGCAGGUGAGAGCUUCGGCGCAUCAUCGACCGAUCCUGAUGUUCUCGGAUGGAUUUGAGUAAGAGCAUACGGGGCCGGACCCGAAAGAAGGUGAACUAUGCCUGUGUAGGGUGAAGCCAGAGGAAACUCUGGUGGAGGCUCGCAGCGGUUCUGACGUGCANUCGAUCGUCAAACAUGGGCAUGGGGGCGAANGACUAAUCGAACCUUCUAG
rnacentral:rRNA from 1 species